rnacentral:sRNA from 1 species
GCAAUAGGACAAAUGACGAAUUUUCCUGGGGUUUAUUUAAACGAAAACAGUAAUAGCCCUAACGACAAAGAAAGUCUACUCCAAGGGCUCGAAAUGGAUAUGGAGAAAGCAAGAAUCUCCAACUCACGUAAUUUUCGUCGUACGGAGGCAAACUCACGCACUAUCGGCUUGUGGAACACACCGAAUCAUAGUGAGAAAGAAGGGGCGGAACUCCCUGUCUUGGUUGCGGGGUGGAAGAGCAGCUGGAUUUCAUCUGCAGAUUGCCGGCUCUGGUAUCCACCUACCCCAUCCAAGCCUAUGGAGAUACAAAUGAAUAGUCCGGGCCGAGAUAACCUCUACGACGAACUACCGGCUGACUACUGGUCUGUGGUGGGAAGCGAACCAGCUGCCCCGAGCCAAGAUCCGUCAGAAUCCAUGUUACUCGAAAUCGAAGAGAUGCAUACCAUGGGGCCAUUCGAGAAAGAGUCGAGAAAUAACAUACCGGAUUGUCAACGGACUACCUAUUCUAGUAGUGAGUGGUGUGAAGAGCACUAUAGAGGCGACAGUAGGAGAUCACCGAUGCCGAACAUCGCAAAUACAUCUGCUCCCUCCACCAUGUCACUAAGUAACUUAAAUAACAUAGAAGUCGUACAUCCUCGGACUCACUCUUGUCCAGGUGAAGGAUCACCAAAUGCCGGAAAAAGUCAGAAUUCAGCACACAGCAGUACAUCUGCGAUAACAAGCGUUUCUCCACUACUCAUUCCA